CGGGGAGCACCACAACAGGUGGAGCCUGCGGUUUAAUCGGACUCAACGCCGGGAAACUCACCAGAUAAGACAGCUGAAUGAUAGUCGGGCUGAAGACUCUACUUGACUAGCUGAGAGGAGGUGCAUGGCCGUCGUCAGUUCGUACUGUGAAGCAUCCUGUUAAGUCAGGCAACGAGCGAGACCCACGCCAACAGUUGCCAGCUCGUCCUCCGGGAUGGAGGGGACACUGUUGGGGCCGCCUCUGCUAAAGAGGAGGAAGGAAUGGGCAACGGUAGGUCAGCAUGCCCCGAAUUAUCUGGGCUACACGCGGGCUACAAUGGGUGGGACAAUGGGUAUCGACACCGAAAGGUGAAGGCAAUCUCCUAAACCCAUCCUUAGUUCGGAUUGUGGGCUGCAACUCGCCCACAUGAAGCUGGAAUCUGUAGUAAUCGUGUUUCAAAAUAGCACGGUGAAUAUGUCCCUGCUCCUU
rnacentral:rRNA from 1 species